AGGCUAAAUCGGCAGACGCCAGUCGACAUGUUUAUUGUAAUUACAAUACAACCUAACACUUGCACAAUAACGUACACGGAAUAAUUUUUGUCUUUGAAAAGUUUUUUUGCCUCGCAAACACUUGUAAAUUGCAAGUUCUAAACUUCUGUGAUAUUCAGUGUACUCUGUAAUCACAUAGCAGCCGGAUUUUCAUGGAAACACUUACACAGUUGGUAGCUGUCGAGUAGUUAGGAAUUCGUUAUAACUGUCAUUUAAUCAUCAUACCAGCUACGAUUAUUGUGUACAACAUCAAAUUAAUACUUAAAAAAUAGAAAAAGUCUAUCUACCAAGUUUCAAAUUAGUAUACUACAAUAAUUGCUACUACUACCGAUAAUGAUUACUCAAUGGAUCUUUAAAAACAAAACUUUAGAUCCCAUGGGAGCGGAACUAGCGAGUUUCGAUGCUAACACUCAUUGUGCAGGAGAAUGAUAUACACAGUGCGUCAAAAAUGAAGGGCAUUAGUAUACUAGUUAAACAUCUGUGAUCUGCGUUGAAUUUUUAUUUUAAAGAAACCGUUAAAACUGAAGAUGAAAAAAUAGUUAGUUACACAUUAGAAUCAAUUAAUAAAAAAUAUACGACUGCUCUAGUAUAUAAAUGUGUUUUUUUGAUUUACUGUAAUAUGUUCUAGAAUAGUGAAAAAAAAUUGUCUGUUUUUUCAUGUAAAUUAUUUUGAUAUUAUUUAAAUUAUUCACAAGAAAAUAUA